AUGCCCAAAAUAGCUACUAGCUUUCCGGAUCCACGUCAAAAUGUCAUUUUGCCUAUUGAUUUAAUAUCCAACAGAAAAACACAACUGCAGCUGACACCCACGGCAAUCAUGAGCAGCUCCAGGCAGGUACCACCUAAUAAAAGGGAACCAACAACUACAUAUCUGAAACGGAGGAUAAUAAAUGGAGAAAGCUUAAAGUCAUCAGGAACAGCAUUUAUUGGACAGGUUAUAAAGUUAUGGAAUAGUCCCCCGUGGGUGGGAGUUGACGGAAUAGAAGAUUACGUGGAAAAGUUGCUUCACAGCAUCUUUUUCUUAGGUCACAUUCAUGAGGACCGUCUUCUUCCAACUGACUUCUUGUCUCAAGCGGUGAUGGACGAAUUAAAAACAAGAUUUCAAAUGACAUUCCACAAUUACAUGUCUCCACCCCGUCAGACUCCAUUUUCUAUUCUUCUGACUUUGGCUGUCAGGUUUUGUGGUCAUGAGGACGAAGAUAUAAUACAAGAACAUCUUCUACGUUUCCUGGAAGCAUUGAAAUUGCCCCCCAAAAUAAAAGGCGAGAGUAACUACACUAACUACUACACUCUGGAGGCUACUGUCAUAGCUGUGUGCUACAACGAAACCCCUGGAGCCCUCAGACCAGAGAAGUACUAUGGAGCAUCCCUGUCCUGCAGAGGGGAGAGAGCAAGGAGAAUUAUGAUCAAUCAGUCAUGUCUAAACGUGUGGCAUGACUAUGUGUCUUAUGCAGUGUUGUCAUUCAGACAUGAUGAACAGGGAAACGGUAUCAUCUUCCCUGGCACCGUAAAAUGCAGAGCAUUCUACAGGAAUCACCAGGCCAAUCGUUAUGAAGACCGAAGGCCGUGCAAUAACUGUGGGGAUCUUUUCUCUCUCGCAAACCCUGAGACGGACAGAAAUGACUUUCCCUACGGAAACUGUGCCGAAACGGAGUGCCUGAGUAAACUUCUUUUCAAAGAUGAGGAUGUCAGGAGCAAUAUGAUUUUGGGAAUCUCCUACACAAGGGAAAACCUGAGAGGUCUUAAAGAAAAGGCAGCAAAAGCUUUGGAACAGAGUCUUAUGGCAUAGGUCUACUUAGCACCUCUGAACAGUGUGCAUUUGGCCGUCAUUUUCAAACCAACUGCAAACUGUGACUGUGUAAACUUCUAUUAUGUGAUCAGGAUGUCUGCAGCAAUAUGAGUUUUGUACACUACACAAGAGAAAAUGUCUUAGAAAAAUGACAGAAAAUGCUUUUGAACAUUUAGGUUUUGUUUCACACAGGUUUUAUACGUGGUGUUUUUGCUGUGUUUGACUUGGAAGUUUCCUCUGAAACUACAAGAACAAUGGUGUUCUUUAAUCACUCAACUGUGAUUAAGGCAACUGUGCCAGAGUCAUAAUGCACAAGUAAAUGGUUUCUGUCACUGAGAGUUGUGAAUUACAGCUCGGACAAACAAUAAAAUUAUUACCACUAAUAAGUAACAGACAUAAAAAGCAGCCACCUUGGGAAUACAGUUGUUUUACUUUUUGGUUUGGUCUUUGUGUUUGGUUGUUUACAUUUUAUUUAUUUAUUUUGGGGGGAUGUUUAAUUGUAAUAAGCUAUAAACUUUGACCCUUGUCAAAUAGUCUGCCAUGUGCUUUGUGUCACAGUGGAAAAUGAAUGAAAUGAAAAUGAACACAUUUCUGAUGUGACAGGAAACGGCAGAAAGGCGGUGACACUGAACUUGUUUGAAUGUAUUCAGUGAAACCCCAGCUAAAAGAGUGGACUAAAACAACAGACAGCACCAUGAAUAUCUAACAUUGUGUUUCUUUAUGACACAAACUUAUCUUGUAAAUAUUUUGAAUCCAUCAAUAAAUGAGAAUUGUUAAAAGUUGGUUGGAUGUUUUAGUUUACUUACAGUUUUCUGCUUUAACUUGGACCAGAUCUCUCUGGCAAAAUACAUUUGAUCUCAAAGUGAAAUAAAACAGGUUUUGGGGCGAACUCAAACUCCCACCACCAGUAACACCUACUUGGGUGAUGCAUUACAGCCAUGCUGUAACAGAGAGGACUCACUACUCACUCAUGUAUUUAUUGUAAGUUUAAGUGGUCAAGUGAAGAAUGGAGGGCGAAGAUAAAAUGUCAGUGUGAGUUGAUCCCUAACAGCAACAAAAAAUAAUUGUAGAGUACUCCUACUGUUUCCACAACAAAACAGGAAAUGUGGAAUGUUUUGAUCUGAAGUCAGUUAACCUUAAACCGGUUUUGAUAGGCCAACCUAACACAAUCAAGAACACCUCUUCUGUCACUGGUCCAGUUUGUACGUUUCCAGAUUUUGAACAGGAUAAAUGCAUGUUAAUAUUUCAAAUGUUGUUCAAAGCAAAGAUAAACGUAACACAAUAACAAAAUCCCAGGAUGUCUAUGUAUCAGUGAUGACACCAUGCACAUCAAGGAAUAAUAUUAUACCCUUAACCUUUUGUAAGAGAGAGAAUGCUGUUUAGUCAGUAAUACAUUAGUAAUAGUUACAACAUAAUGCAUCAGUCGGGAGUAACUCAGGGCAUCAGCGGAGCACCAGGGUGUUUUGUCGUCAGACUACCUUUCCCAGAGAAGUACACACGUGCAUGACUCAACCUGUUGAGAGGAAAAUUACCAAGAUGUGUCAGACAGAAACUCAAGGGCAGUUUUGUAUCACACAUUUUCAGCAUAUUGGACAAUGACUGUAUUCAUGUUUACCUAAUAGUUAUUGAGCACUGUGGAACAAAUAAAUAGACAAUAUUAACAUCAAGUAGAGAUGUUUUUGGUUAUAAGAGGACAUUUCAGAUAUAUUAUAUUGACGCAAACAAGAGAGAAGAUUGAACCAGUUAGACUCGUCUUAAAUGUGAUGUUAUUGUGUCCAUUAGGCCACCAGUUAAUGUAUUUGAAACAUAGUUAGUCUAAUCAGAUAAAUGUUUUGUGUUAUAUCUAGAUUGUCUGAGAUGCCUCAACCAUAGAGGGGAAGGUUUAGGCUAAGGCUUUGUAGUCGGCACUCUACAGCCCAGCGAUAACAACUGGCAACACCCUCAUGUUCUCUCCAGUCUGCUGGAGAAACCAAACCUCAGAGCAACAAGCCUCACGUCCUACAGUUAAACACUAGCAGUAAAACAGUGGUAAAAUAAUAAAAAGCACAGAGAUGAGUGAUAAAAGGCUGUGUUUGUGUUUGUUAUGUAAGAGGUCCAUAUGAGGGAAUUCAUCUUUAUUGACUCAUCAUAUGAAUGUACCAAUAUCCUGUAAUGUACUGUAAUUUCUUUCUAAGACCAAACAGGAAGUAGGAAAAUAGCCAUUGUGGAUUUCCAAAACAAGCGUUUCCAUCCAUUUAUUCUAGGGAAAACCAGGACAUAAAGAUACAUUUAAUUGAAACAAAUGCAGUACAAUAACAUGCUUGAUUAUUGUUAUACUGUACAAUGCCAAACACAUUUGAUACCGUUCCUUUUACUCCAUUCCAUCCAUUACACUCCAUUCCAUCCAUUCCACUCCAUUCCAUCAUUACACUCCAUUCCAGACAUUAUUAUAAGCCGUCCUCCCCUCAGCAGCCUCCACUGCUUUAGAUGUGUUAAUGUUCGAGUAGAUAGAUGUGUUUGCAACUUAGCCUGUUAUCUUCCUCCCAGAAUAUAGGGCAAUGACUACCGUAAAAUAGAUGAAGAUCCCCAACAUUGGUUAAAUGAUCUGUUUAUCAUGACUAGUUCAGUUAUCACACAUUACUAUCAGUAGUAGUUAGUACUACAGUACCAUGAGGACAUCUAGUAGGUAUUGUGGUGUGGCUCAUUUCAAAAGGUGCCCUGAACACAGCAAUACAACAGAACAAUGCCACACUACAAAAGGAUAACUCUAACAAAGAUAAAACAACCAAAAUAAAAAAAAAGGGGGGCAUCAAAACUGAAAGAGGAUCUACCUAGACUGGUACGAACUAGUAGAACUUGGAGAGUUAACCAUCCCUGUGAAACGGGUUUGGUGUCUCAUAUUUAAACAUCUUACCCGGGAAGUGAGGUAGGUUCAAAGCCUUUUCAGCAGAGAUUUGUAAACAAGAAGGGAGUAAUGAAGCGAUCUAGGGGACUUUAGUCAGGACCAGCCGACCUUCUGAUACGGGAUGCAGUGACGAGUAUUAAACCUGUCACCUGUGAUAAAGUGAAGUGCUCUAUGGUAGACUGCAUCCAGAGGUUUUAGAGGGGUGUCUGCUGCACUACUUUUUAUUUAACUAGACAAGUCAGUUAUUUAUUUACAAUGACGGCCUACCCCGGCCAAACCUGGGUGACGCUGGGCCAAUUGAGCACCGCCCUAUAGGACUCCCAACCACGGCCGGAUGUGAUACAGCCUUCAUUUGAACCAGGGACUGAAGUGACACCUCUUGCACUGAGAUGCAGUGCCUUAGACUGCCAUGCCACACAGGAGCCCCUUAAUUUUUGCCUUAAGUACCCAUCUGUUUUAUGUAACCAUACCAAACGUAACAUAUACUAAUUUGGGUGUCCCGAACUUACUGUUACUAUGAUACCAGGCUGGAAGAAAAGGUGUCACUGAACUUAUGUAAGUAACACAGGACAAAUACAGACAGCAUGAUGAAUUAUCACAUCAGAAUUCCUGAAAGUUGGUUGCUUUUAGUUUCCUCCUGCUGCUAUAUCU
ensembl:lncRNA